rnacentral:rRNA from 1 species
GUCGAGAAUUUUUCUCAAUGGGCGAAAGCCUGAAGGAGCGACGCCGCGUGGGGGAUGAAUGGCUUCGGCCCGUAAACCCCUGUCAUUUGCGAUCAAACCGCAUUAUUUAAAAGAUGAUGCGCUGAUAGUAGCGGAAGAGGAAGGGACGGCUAACUCUGUGCCAGCAGCCGCGGUAAUACAGAGGUCCCAAGCGUUGUUCGGAUUCACUGGGCGUAAAGGGUGCGUAGGUGGCCGGGUAAGUCUGACGUGAAAUCUCCAAGCUCAACUUGGAAACUGCGUCGGAUACUAUCCGGCUCGAGGAUCGGAGGGGAGACUGGAAUGCUUGGUGUAGCAGUGAAAUGCGUAGAUAUCAAGCGGAACACCAGUGGCGAAGGCGAGUCUCUGGACGAUUCCUGACGCUGAGGCACGAAAGCCAGGGGAGCAAACGGGAUUAGAUACCCCUGUAGUCC